GCCCCGGGUCUCACCCUCCCCAGCCUGCCCCUCAACGAGCCUCAACCUCUGGGCUUAACUGCAGCCUCUGCAUGACCACCUAGGCCCUGAAUAACUCACUGCGAACUAGCGAUGGCAGGAAGUGCUGGGCAGGGAGGGGAAGGGCAGCGGCUGGUGCUGGCCUCUGCUGCCUCUUUCCCCCGGGGACACGUGCUAAGAGUGCCAGGCCCCUGCGGAGUAGUGAGGUACUCCCUCUGCGUCCUGCAGUGUUCAUGAGUACCGGCUGUCCAGCUGGCUGGGGCAGCAGGAGGACACCCACAGGAUCGUGCUCUACCAGGCAGAUGGCACACUCACACCCUGGACCCAGCACUGCGUGCGCCAGGCCGACUGCAUCCUCAUCGUGGGCCUGGGUGACCAGGAGCCCAUGGUGGGUGAGCUGGAGCGGAUGCUGGAGAGCACAGCUGUGCGUGCCCAGAAGCAGCUGAUCCUGCUGCACAGGGAGGAGGGCCUGGCGCCAGCCCGCACCGUGGAGUGGCUCAACAUGCGGAGCUGGUGCUCUGGCCACCUGCACCUCUGCUGCCCGCGCCGCGUCUUCUCCAGGAGGAGCCUGCCCAAGCUGGUGAGGCGGGGAGAGGAGGCUGCCUGCCCGUGGCUCCGUGGUUCCUUUCCUCGAACGUUCGAAGCAUUCUUCACAUUCCCCACCUGAUUCCCUGACACCUGCGCUCCCUGGGCCCUUCCUGUGCUUGUGAACGUGACCCUGCCUCACGUCUCCUUCAUCUUGCCCUUUGGGCCUCUGGUGGCCACGGCUAGGAGGCAGCUGGUCCGGUGGGGGCAGGCACAGGGCGGCCAUCGGGCUGGGGGCUUAGUGAACCCUGGGGAUGGGCCUGAAUCAGGGGGCUCAGUAAACCCUGGGGAUGGGCCUGACAUCAGAGGGGCUCAGUGAACCCUGGGGGAUGGGCUUGAAUCAGGGGGCUCAGUGAACUCUGGGGGAUGGGCCUCAUGUCAGGGCUGCUCAGGGCUGAGGCUGAGGCUCCCACAUCCAGCUGAUGAGGGUGUCCUCAGGCCAGCGCUGCUCCCUCCUUUGGGCAGAAGACCCUGAGACUUUUAAUUCCAGUGUCCUCAGGCAGCCCUGGGGCCUGAGGGUGAGGGGUGCACUGAGGUGCUGACCAGUCGUAUCAGUCAGGGCCUGCUGCAUACUGGAGAGGAUUUGGGGUCAGUUUGGGUCAGAAGUGGAGGAAACUCCCCCCAGUUAAGCCAGGAUGCGAGGUCUCGGCCGAGGGUGGGGCCCUGCACCAGCCCUGCCUGACGGCUCCUCCCCCAGGUGGAGAUGUACAAGCGUGUCUUCCAGCGACCCCCGAACCGACACUCAGACUUCUCCCACCUGGCAAGGGUGCUGACGGGCAACGCCAUUGCCCUGGUGCUCAGGGGAGGGGGAGCAAGAGGCUGUGCUCAGGUGGGCGUUCUCAAGGCCUCGGCGGAGUGCGGCAUCCCUGUGGACAUGGUGAGAGGCACUUCCAUCGGGGCCUUCAUGGGUGCCCUGUACUCUGAGGAGCGGAACUACAGCCAGAUGCGGAUCCGGGCCAAGCAGUGGGCUGAGGGCAUGACAUCCAUGAUGAAGGCCGCACUGGACCUCACCUACCCCAUCACAUCCAUGUUCUCUGGAGCCGGCUUCAACAGCAGCAUCUGCAGCGUCUUCAAGGACCGGCAGAUCAAGGUGCACCCCCACCCUCAGGAGCCCAUACAGCCCCCAGCGCCUGUCCCCUCCUGGCCCCCCACCUCUUGGCCCUGGGUCAGCCUCCCCAGACACGGGACAGGAGCGUGAUGGGAGAGGGCCCGUCUGAGCCCCGUCUGCCCGCAGGACCUGUGGAUUCCUUAUUUCGCCAUCACCACCGACAUCACAGCCUCGGCCAUGCGGGUCCACACCGACGGCUCCCUGUGGCGGUACGUGCGUGCCAGCAUGUCCCUGUCCGGUUACAUGCCCCCUCUCUGUGACCCCAAGGACGGACACCUGCUGAUGGACGGGGGCUACAUCAACAACCUCCCAGCGGAUGUGGCCCGGUCCAUGGGGGCAAAAGUGGUGAUCGCCAUUGACGUGGGCAGCCGAGAUGAGACGGACCUCACCAACUAUGGGGAUGCGCUGUCUGGGUGGUGGCUGCUGUGGAAACGCUGGAACCCCUUGGCCACGAAAGUCAAGGUGUUGAACAUGGCAGAGAUUCAGACUCGCCUGGCCUACGUGUGCUGCGUGCAGCAGCUGGAAGUGGUGAAGAGCAGUGACUACUGCGAGUACCUGCGCCCCCCCAUCGACAGCUACGGCACCCUGGACUUCGGCAAGUUCAACGAGAUCUGCGAAGUGGGCUACCAGCACGGGCGCACGGUGUUUGACAUCUGGAGCCGCAGCGGCGUGCUGGAGAAGAUGCUGCGCGACCAGCAGGGGCCGAGCAAGAGGCCCGCGAGUGCGGUCCUCACCUGUCCCAACGCCUCCUUCACGGACCUUGCCGAAAUUGUGUCUCGCAUUGAGCCCGCCAAGCCCACCAUGGUGGAUGGUGAGUGGAGGCGCAAGACGAGGCCGUGGAGACGUGCGUGGCCUCCUGAUGCUGUGUUGGGCUAGAACCCCCCACCCCAGAGGCCCACGGCCUCCCCUCCUGCCCACGUCCACGCCCAGGCUCCAGCAGCUGGGGUGCUUGGUGGCACUUCUCCGUCCUGGGCACCACGUGUCCCCACAGCAGUGGGACUGUGACCACCCCGGGUCACCCAGCCCCUGCCCUUCAUUCACCCCAAGUCCCAGCCACACCUCAGGCCUGAGGUAGAACCACGUUUUGCCUCCCACCCCACCCAGUGGGAAACCGGAAUGAAGGCUGCUUGUUGGAGGGGCCGCAGGGCAAGAAGGGUGGGUCCACUACCCUCCAUGCUCCAUCCAGGGCCCUGCGCUUGGGCCUUCAGCCAGUGGCCUUCUCACAGCAGAACUGGACAUUCUCCUGGGAGAUGUCUUCAUGCUGCCGCGGGCCGAGAGGGCCCUGGGCAAGGCAGCCCCUAUCCACAGAUGCCACGUCUGGGGUGCUGGAGCCCUCAGGGUGCUUGGCUGACAAGGGGAGGAGUGUCUGCCUGCUCCUUGUCCUUGUGGAAGACCUACCAAGUGAUGUGCUGGGGCAAGGCUGGAGCCAGACAGAACCAGGGGUGGUGUGCAGGGCUGUCCUGGGAGCAGGUGGCUGCGUGUAGGGCCCCAGGCCACCUGGGGGCGGGGGUGGGCAUCUGUGGCCGGUUCUGCCUCUGAGUGUGGCUAUGCUGGGCACGGUCCCUUCCUUGGGAGGGGACUGAUGCAGCCCUACCCUUGGCGCCAGACGAAUCUGACUACCAGACGGAGUACGAGGAGGAGCUGCUGGACGUCCCCAGAGAUGCAUACGCAGACUUCCAGAGCACCUCGGCCCAGUGGGGCUCAGACUCGGAGGACGAGUCCUCGCUGCGGCAUCGACACCCCAGCCUGGCUUUCCCAAAACUGUCUGAGGGCUCCUCUGACCAAGACGGGUAGAGGCCUCUGCUAAAGAGCCCAGAUGCAGCGUCUUCUGUGGGACUGUCCCCAAGGCUGAGGCUCCUGCCAAGUCCUAGGGGCCUCUGUGCCUGCCCUGCUGGAAGCCCUGACUUCCCUGGGGUCCCAGGCUGUGUUAGGGUUCUCUGGGCCUCUUCUUUGUACCGGCAGCCCUGCAUACAGGGCUCUGUGAGCCCCCCGCAGUCCUAUGAGGCCCCUGAAGCCCUGUGAGCCCCCCGAAACGUCUGUGAGCCCCCCUGCAGUCCUUUGAGGCCCCUGAAGCUCUGUGAGGCCCCUGAAGCCCUGUGAACCCCCUGCAGCCCUGUGAGCCUCCCUGCUGCCCUGUGAGCCCCCUACAGCCCUGUGAGGCCCCCCAAAGCCCUGUGAAGCCCCCCGAAACCCUGUGAACCGCCUGCUGCCCUGUGAGGCCCCCCUGCAGCCCUGUGAGCCCCCCUGCAGCCCUGCGAAGCCCCCAAAGCCCUGUGAACUGCCUCCUGCCCUGUGUGGUGUGGGAGCCCUGAUGCUGCAGUGUGAUGUUUCAAUAAAGGCGGAUCUGACUGUU
rnacentral:sRNA from 1 species